CCUACGGGUGGCAGCAGUGGGGAAUAUUUCACAAUGGGGGAAACCCUGAUGCAGCGACGCCGCGUGAGCGAAGAAGUAUUUCGGUAUGUAAAGCCCUAUCAGCAGGGAAGAAAAUGACGGUACCUGACUAAGAAGCCCCGGCUAAAUACGUGCCAGCAGCAGCGGUAAUACGGAUGGGGCAAGCGUUAUCCGGAUUUACUGGGUGUAAAGGUAGCGCAGGCGGCUUGGCAAGUCUGAUGUGAAAGGCUCGGGCUCAACCCGAGGACUGCAGUGGAAACUGUGAGGCUGGAGUGUCGGAGAGGGAAGCGGAAUUCCUAGUGUAGCAGUGAAAUGCGUAGAUAUUGGGAGGAACACCAGUGGCGAAGGCGGGUUACUGGACGACAACUGACGCUGAGGCACGAAGGCGUGGGGAGCGAAAGGGAUUAGAUACCCGAGUAGUC
rnacentral:rRNA from 1 species